rnacentral:rRNA from 1 species
AUUGAACGCUGGCGGCAGGCCUAACACAUGCAAGUCGAGCGGGAACUUCGGUUCUAGCGGCGGACGGGUGAGUAAUGCGUAGGAAGCUACCCGAUAGAGGGGGAUACCAGUUGGAAACGACUGUUAAUACCGCAUAAUGUCUACGGACCAAAGUGUGGGACCUUCGGGCCACAUGCUAUCGGAUGCGCCUACGUGGGAUUAGCUAGUUGGUGAGGUAAUGGCUCACCAAGGCGACGAUCCCUAGCUGGUUUGAGAGGAUGAUCAGCCACACUGGAACUGAGACACGGUCCAGACUCCUACGGGAGGCAGCAGUGGGGAAUAUUGGACAAUGGGCGCAAGCCUGAUUCAGCCAUGCCGCGUGUGUGAAGAAGGCCUUCGGGUUGUAAAGCACUUUCAGCGAGGAGGAAGGGUUGUGUGUUAAUAGUACACAGCCUUGACGUUACUCGCAGAAGAAGCACCGGCUAACUCUGUGCCAGCAGCCGCAGUAACAC